UACGGAAGGGGCAAGCGUUGUUCGGAAUCAUUGGGCGUAAAGGGCGCGUAGGUGGUUUUGUGUGUCUACCGUGAAAGCGCGCGGCUUAACCGCGUUCCGUCGGUAGAAACUGCAGAACUUGAGACUGGGAGGGGCUGGUGGAAUUCCCGGUGUAGCGGUGAAAUGCGUAGAGAUGGGGGAGAACACUCGUGGCGAAGGCGGCCAGCUAGACCAGUUCUGACACUGAGGCGCGACAGCGUGGGGAGCAAACAGG
rnacentral:rRNA from 1 species